rnacentral:rRNA from 1 species
AUUGAACGCUGGCGGCAGGCCUAACACAUGCAAGUCGAGCGGAUGAAUGGAGCUUGCUCCUGGAUUCAGCGGCGGACGGGUGAGUGAUGCCUAGGAAUCUGCCUGGUAGUGGGGGAUAACGUCAGGAAACGGGCGCUAAUACCGCAUACGUCCUGAGGGAGAAAGUGGGGGAUCUUCGGACCUCACGCUAUCAGAUGAGCCUAGGUCGGAUUAGCUAGUUGGUGGGGUAAAGGCCUACCAAGGCGACGAUCCGUAACUGGUCUGAGAGGAUGAUCAGUCACACUGGAACUGAGACACGGCCCAGACUCCUACGGGAGGCAGCAGUGGGGAAUAUUGGACAAUGGGCGAAAGCCUGACGCAGCCAUGCCGCGUGUGUGAAGAAGGUCUUCGGAUUGUAAAGUUCUUUAAGUUGGGAGGAAGGGCAGUAAUUUAAUAGCUUACUGUUUUGACGUUACCAACAGAAUAAGCACCGGCUAACUUCGUG